rnacentral:tRNA from 1 species
GAGGCCUUAGCUUAAACAAAGUGUUUGGUUUGCAUCCAGAAGAUGUGGGUUAAUCUCCCGCAGGUUUUA